rnacentral:rRNA from 1 species
AGAGUUUGAUCCUGGCUCAGAUUGAACGCUGGCGGCAUGCCUUACACAUGCAAGUCGAACGGCAGCGGACCUUCGGGUGCCGGCGAGUGGCGAACGGGUGAGUAAUGUAUCGGAACGUACCUUUCAGUGGGGGAUAACGUAGCGAAAGUUACGCUAAUACCGCAUAUUCUGUGAGCAGGAAAGCAGGGGAUCGCAAGACCUUGCGCUGAUUGAGCGGCCGAUAUCAGAUUAGCUAGUUGGUGAGGUAAAGGCUCACCAAGGCGACGAUCUGUAGCGGGUCUGAGAGGAUGAUCCGCCACACUGGAACUGAGACACGGUCCAGACUCCUACGGGAGGCAGCAGUGGGGAAUUUUGGACAAUGGGGGCAACCCUGAUCCAGCCAUGCCGCGUGAGUGAAGAAGGCCUUCGGGUUGUAAAGCUCUUUCGGCCGGGAAGAAAUCGCAUGGGUUAAUACCCUGUGCGGAUGACGGUACCGGCAUAG